CAGAAUGAGGAGUGCAGGGAAUGUAUUCUACAACACAUAUGAAUUAAUAACUUUCAAAAGUUUCAAUUAAAUUAAAAGGCCAACACAAAUUCUACUG
rnacentral:snoRNA from 1 species